ensembl:snRNA U1 U1 spliceosomal RNA
GCGAUUUCCCCAAAUGCGGGAAACUCGACUGCAUAAUUUGUGGUAGUUGGGGACUGCGUUCGCGCUCUCCCCUG